rnacentral:misc_RNA from 1 species
AUCAAAACUUUGAGAUAACUAAGUUCGGUGCUUAGCAUCUUAGUUCAGAACCAGUUCCUUAACGUGCCCUGACUUUUAUACAAAAAUUCAUAAUUUAUGAAACCCCCUCUUUAGAAGUUCACCAGAUGCCCGUGGUUCUAAUUAACACAUUACUAACAAACUCCAUAAUUUCUCAUUUAGACAUGUGUCCAAGUAAAUUAAAUACAUGCUAUUCUUUAUGACUACUCAUGCCAGCUUUCUUCAAUUCUUGAAAUGCGUUUAUGGUCUCUGUGUCAAAGCCGCCUGCAAACUGAAUGUUCAAAUUGUUUGUAAGAUAGAUAUAUAUAAAUUCUAGAUCUGAGCUUGUGGGAGAAAGGCUUACCUGAUGUACUCGAUAAGCAAAUCUAGCUCCUUGAAGCAGGAGAUUCUCUUCAUCUAAGCACUCAUUGAUCUGCAGUUCUUUAGUUAUCCUUUUCAUAUACUCCUUGGCUAGCCUCAAAGAACUUAAUUUGAUCUGUAAACAAUAUCAGGAUUGCUUCUUAGCAUGCAUGAAGAUAAACCUCUCUCAAAGAAUCUUUAUUGUUAUUAUUAAUAAUUGUCUGCUAAUUUAUUAGUUGGCAAGGUAUUGUCAGUAGUUGAACUAUCAUGUUUAUGGUAAAAUUAGCUAUCUUCUACCUACCUGACCAAUCAAGCCCGUGUCCAGCAACCAUUCCCAGGGGAUCUGGAAAUCCCUGUACCUCUUGACCGUGCCUUCCCUUGUCCUUUCGGUGUUGCUAAUGCUUCUCUCCAACCUGUAAAUUUAAUGGUUAAUCAUGUCAUUAAUUCAUGGGAUCAGUUAAUGAAGGACGUUAUUGCAAAUUUAGUUUGUACAUGCUCGCCUGUCUUGCAGUGCUUGCAUCUUUCCUACAGCCUUCACCAAAGGUUCUUUUGGAUUGUCUUCAAAUGAUGAAAUUUCUGAAUCAAGGUUUUUCAGGUCUCGGUAGUUGAAAGCAGCUUCUCUUAGAGCGUCUGAUUUACGUUCUGGCCAUUGGGUGAAAUGCUUCAAUACAGCUCUUUCAUCAACUAGGGAAGAAAGUUCAUGAUCUAGCCAUUUCACAAAUGACUCCACAUCAGAUAUAUCUUUAAAAGCUGCAGACUCCACUUCUUUGAUUAAUAAAUUAAUGAAUUCCUUGCGUUUUUCAACGUCUGAUUUUAUAGCGGAAAGAUGAGUGGAGCGGUUCUCAAUUUCUCCAAUCAUGUUCAAUGUAAAUGCAGUUCCUGGAGUAGCUGUAGAAUUGCUUUUGUUUUCCAUGUGGGCAUUUUUCCUUGUAAGCGAACGAUAAAACUCCACAACUUCUGGUACACGUCGCACUGAUCUUGAUCCAGUAGACAUCUUUGAUGGUGGCGGUGGAGGUGGUGGUGCAAAUGUUGGUGGUGGCAUUUUAUUUACUCCAGAUAAUGGAGAGGAGACAGGAGAAAUCAGCUUUGGUGGUGGAUUUGGUAAUUGCCUUUCCUUUCUGGGUACUGAUUCUUGAAUUUUCGGCGUUGGGCUAGGAAGUUCUGCACUCUUUUCUGAUGCUUUGACAAACUCUGAUGGUUUCUGUUGAUAUUCAUCAUUCUUGCUGCUAUCAUUGGCGUUCUGUAACUUCUUCCAAAGCAUAGAUUUCCUCUCGUUAUCAUGUGCUUUGAGGGAACUUAUCUGUGCUUUUAGACGAACUACUUCUUGUCUUAAUUCCUGAUUUUCCUUCUCCACUGAAUCAUUCCUUAUCAGAGAAGCUUCGAGUUCUUUCUUGAGGUAGAUUAUCAAGGAUUCAUCCUCUUCUUGAGGCAUUUUUCUCUCUAGUUCUGCUUUCAUUAGAAGAAAGACAGAAUGGGGUCUCGUUCUAUUGCUAGAUCAUGUGCCCUUUUAAAUAUGAUCUUACUUUUCAAGUAAGAUAUGUUCACCUAAGCCUAACGAAAAUACCCCAAAUUACACUUGGUAAUGUAUGCAGACUACUAUGUUUUACAAAGGGUAUUUUCG